rnacentral:rRNA from 1 species
AGUGAACGCUGGCGGUAGGCCUAACACAUGCAAGUCGAACGGCAGCACAGUAAGAGCUUGCUCUUACGGGUGGCGAGUGGCGGACGGGUGAGGAAUACAUCGGACUCUACUUUUUCGUGGGGGAUAACGUAGGGAAACUUACUCUAAUACCGCAUACGACCUACGGUUGAAAGCAGUGGAUCUUCGGACCUUGCGCGAUUGAAUGAGCCGAUGUCGGAUUAGCUAGUUGGCGGGGUAAAGGCCCACCAAGGCGACGAUCCGUAGCUGGUCUGAGAGGAGGAUCGGCCACAUUGGAACGGAGACACGGUCCAGACUCCUACGGGAGGCAGCAGUGGGGAAUAUUGGACAAUGGGCGCAAGCCUGAUCCAGCCAUACCGCGUGGGUGAAGAAGGCCUUCGGGUUGUAAAGCCCUUUUGUUGGGAAAGAAAAGCAGCAGGUUAAUACCCCGCUGUUCUGACGGUACCCAAAGAAUAAGCACCGGCUAACUUCGUG